rnacentral:rRNA from 1 species
UACGGGGGGGGCAAGCGUUGUUCGGAAUUACUGGGCGUAAAGGGCUCGUAGGUGGCCAACUAAGUCAGACGUGAAAUCCCUCGGCUUAACCGGGGGAACUGCAUCCGAUACUGGAUGGCUUGAAUUCGGGAGAGGGAUGCAGAAUUCCAGGUGUAGCGGUGAAAUGCGUAGAUAUCUGGAGGAACACCGGUGGCGAAGGCGGCAUCCUGGACCGGUAUUGACGCUGAUGCGCGAAAGCCAGGGGAGCAAACGGG